GAUGAACGCUGGCGGCGUGCCUAAUACAUGCAAGUCGAGCGAACAGACGAGGAGCUUGCUCCUCUGACGUUAGCGGCGGACGGGUGAGUAACACGUGGAUAACCUACCUAUAAGACUGGGAUAACUUCGGGAAACCGGAGCUAAUACCGGAUAAUAUAUUGAACCGCAUGGUUCAAUAGUGAAAGACGGUUUUGCUGUCACUUAUAGAUGGAUCCGCGCCGCAUUAGCUAGUUGGUAAGGUAACGGCUUACCAAGGCAACGAUGCGUAGCCGACCUGAGAGGGUGAUCAGCCACACUGGAACUGAGACACGGUCCAGACUCCUACGGGAGGCAGCAGUAGGGAAUCUUCCGCAAUGGGCGAAAGCCCGACGGAGCAACGCCGCGUGAGUGAUGAAGGUCUUCGGAUCGUAAAACUCUGUUAUUAGGGAAGAACAAAUGUGUAAGUAACUAUGCACGUCUUGACGGUACCUAAUCAGAAAGCCACGGCUAACUACGUG
rnacentral:rRNA from 1 species